AAAAAUCCCCUAACAUCCAAAGUUUAUUGUGUCAGAAUAGUUCCUCAGUCAAAUGAUGAUUGUUAUGUGGGAAUAGGUCCUCAGUCAUAUGAAAAUUGUUGUGUUGGAAAAGGUCCCCUUGCAAGCAAAACUUCUCGUGUCCCUUGUCAACCAAAACUAGUCUCAGAAUUGUUCACCAACCGAUAAUUGUCUAAUCAGGUCAGCGUUCAACCGAUGAUUGUUGUGUCAGAAUAGGUUGUCAGUAAACGAAUGAUUGCCUAAUGAGGUCAGCGUUCAACCGAUGAUUGUUGUGUCAGAAUAGGUUGUCAGUAAACGAGUGAUUGUCUAAUCAGGUCUGCAGUCAACCGAUGAUUGUUGUGUCAGAAUAGGUUGUCAGUAAACGAAUGAUUGUAUAAUCAGAAUCAGUCCUCAGGAAACUAGUGUCUGUUUUGUCACGAUAAAUACCAGUAAGCCAAUGCUCUUUAUGGCAACAAAAUACAACUAUUUAUAAACAAAAGACACAAGGACAAGAAUAAUGGCAAGUAGGCCAUUUAUUUAUUAUCACAGGGCUUUUUAUUGCCAUUAGAGUAUCAAACUGAAAACCAGUUCUUAAGAAUGUGUUUAGUAUCUAUUUGUUACUGUUUUCUUUUUAACGAACGGCAUGUUUGUUACAGAGAUAGAUAUACAAAAAAUGACAUCUAUCUGGCUUCCAACAAAAAAUAUUCCCAGACCCUAUUCUUGGGAUCAACUCUAAUACUCUUCUGUUCCAUGGAAAUGGUCAUCUUAUCGCAUCUCUUUGCUUUUUUUUCAUAAAAAAAUGUCGGCUUUGUAGUCAAGUCGUAGUUUUAAAAGUAUUAGGUACAUUUUUCAGGAAUAUGAUAACACAGUUAGUUUUGAUGGUAAAUUUGUGCAGAAUGUGUGACAGGCUUCCAUUCAUCAUAGUUAUUAUUAUUUGAUAAUUAUAAUGAUACUAACAAACCAAACUGCUUGAUAAUAAGAUACAAACUCAUUGCAUGUUGCAUGGUGAUGGUUUUGAAUUUAACUGUUUAAAAU